UGCUGGAUCGUCUAAUGGUAGGACGGUGGUCUCUGGAACCACUAAUUCUAGUUCGAAUCUAGGUCCAGCAA
rnacentral:tRNA from 1 species